UCUUCGCUGAGAAGCCGAAGAGGGAUCC
rnacentral:sRNA from 1 species